UACGGGGGGAGCAAGCGUUGUUCGGAUUUACUGGGCGUAAAGGGCGCGUAGGCGGUCUUGCAAGUCCUGUGUGAAAUCCCUCGGCUCAACUGAGGAACUGCACAGGAAACUGCUUGGCUUGAGUUCGGGAGAGGGAAGCGGAAUUCCGGGUGGUAGCGGUGAAAUGCGUAGAUAUCCGGAGGAACACCGGGUGGCGAAGGCGGCUUCCUGGACCGACACUGACGCUGAGGCGCGAAAGCUAGGGGAGCAAACGGG
rnacentral:rRNA from 1 species